rnacentral:rRNA from 1 species
UACGUAGGGGGCGAGCGUUGCUCGGAUUGACUGGGCGUAAAGCGCGCGUAGGCGGUCCAUUAAGUGUGUGGUGAAAUGCAGAGGCUCAACCUCUGUCCCGCCGCGCAAACUGGUGGUCUUGAGAUUGGGAGGGGGAUGCGGAAUUCCUGGUGUAGCGGUGAAAUGCAUUGAUAUCAGGAGGAACACCGGCGGCGAAGGCGGCAUCCUGGCUUAUAUCUGACGCUGAGGCGCGAAAGCGUGGGUAGCAAACGGGAUUAGAUACCCCGGUAGUCCACGCCGUAAACGAUGGAUACUAGGUGUGGGAGGUCUCGACCCCUCCCGUGCCGUAGCAAACGCGUUAAGUAUCCCGCCUGGGGAGUACGGCCGCAAGGUUGAA